GAAGUCAUGGCGCUAUGCAUACUUCAAGUUUAUAGAAAGUGCCUGUGACAAAAUCUGGGUAAAGACUACUCGCCUGAGGAGGAAGUUCCGUUGAGUAAGUUCCUAUCAAAAAACUUAUACUCUGUUUCUCAUAUCACACACUAAUCCGUAGCAUGCUGUCUUUGAUAAAUUGCUCUUUGAAAAUUUCACAUUUUUGUAGACAUUCCUUCAUCUAACUUAUUCUUUUUAGAACUAAUUAGAACUUAACAUUGAUAAUUUGCAAAAUUAUUGUGAUUUGUAAUUUGUUUUCCAAAUAUUUCUAAAUAUUUGUGUUAUGCAUCCCAACUUGCCCAAUUCUAUCCAAUAAGAAAAUGAUAGAGCUUAAUUAGUUUUUUUUUCUUCCAAACAAAGAAUAACGUUGCAAUUGUAACGUAAAGUAGUAGACUAACUAAACCAAGGCGAUUCUAACAUCAAAUCAAUAGCUUUCGAAGGAAUUUUUUCCCCAAUGAACUAUUAUGUGAUUGGAAACCAAAUAUUUCCUUUCCUUUCCUUACCUUUUGAAAAUUUUGAUCCAAAAAUUAGAUAGCAAAACCUUUCUCUCUUUCUACUAGGGGAAAAUCAUCCAAAACAUCCCUCACAUUUUGUAAAAUGACUUUUUUCAUCCCUUACUUUUAAAAGUGUAAUUUUAUGUCCCUUACAUAUUCACAUCGGUCAAAUUUAGUCUCUAACUAGGUUUCUGAUCAUUUUUUUGCCGGAUUCCAUCAUGUACAAGGCACGUGAUCAUUUUUUAGGGGUAAAUUUGUCAAAUUAUAUUUUGCAUAAUCUAAUUUAUUGUCCCUCACAUUUCAUAAAAUAAUUUUUUUCGUCCCUUACAUUUUAUAAAAUAAUUUUUUUCAUCCAUCAUAUUUCAUAAUAUGAAUUUCUCCAUUCCUCAGAUUUCAAAAAAUGAAUAAUUGUUAAUAUGGUUAUAGCUUGUUAUAGGUAGGACAUUAUCAAUUAUUUAUGUAAUUGGGCCCGGCUUGUUGGUUAUCUUCCCUUUUUGUAUGAUUCUGACUAAUAUUUACCAAUAGAACCUUAAUUUGCAUAUUCUUAUUGUAUUUGAUAGAAAAUAGCUUUAUUGGCCAACUGGACAAUGAAUGCAAAAUUUUUUACUAGCUAAUACCAAAUGAAAUCAAAUGAUCGCAUAUAAUACAUGCUAUUCGUAUUGUUAAGUGAAAUCAAAUAGACACAUACAUGUGUUUAUGCUAUUCGUAUUAUUAAACGAAAUCAAAUAAACAUAUGCAUGUGUUUAAAAAAAAUGUAUUCACACACAUAAUUAGUGAGGAAUGACAAAUUUAUUUUUGAAAUGUGAGGGAUGAAGAAAUUCAUAUUGUGAAAUAUGAGGGAUGAAAAAAGUCAUUUUAUAAAAUGUGAGGGACGAAAAAUUAUUUUAUGAAAUGUGGGGGACUAUAGAUUAGAUUAUGCAAAAUAUAAUUUGACAAAUUUACCCAUAAAAAAUGAUCAUGUGCCUUGCACGUGAUGGAAUCCGGCUAAAAAAUGAUCGCGAAACCUAGUUAGGGACUAAAUUUGACCGAUGUGAAUAUGUAAGAGACGUAAAAUUAUAUUUUUAAAAGUGAGAGAUGAAAAAAGUCAUUUUACAAAAUGUGAGGGACGUUUUGGACGAUUUUCCCUUCUACUAGCAAUUGUUUCAACUCUCUCAAAAGUUUUGAAAUCUAAUAAUUCUCUUAUAUUAUUCGCAUUUUCUUAUGUUUCAUUAAAAUCGAUAUUACAAGAAUCUCAUUGAUUUGUUUAUUUAUGACCGAUUAUAAAGAUAAUUAUUUUACUGUUAGCAUUUGAACAGAAUAAAUAUUCGAUAUCGAACAAUUUAGAUUAUUGAUCUUGUUCACUAAUCUAAUUUUCUGUCAAUGGUUUUAUGCUUCAGAAGAAUUCUAUAGUAAUUUAUGCUAAUAGUUGAUGUAGUUAUUUAAUUUCUAAUUGGUUUACAAUCUAGUUUUUCUCCCAAAACUCUUACAAACUACUAAUUAAUGUUUUUUAGGUACUUUUGAACCAGUGAUUAUUCUAGAUGAAUAAAUUUUUAUAUUCAUGUAAUGCUGAUAUAUAUUUUGCCCUUCCUAGAUUAGUUUUCUACCUCCUCCACCACUGCAAGGAAUAAAGAUUUGGCAAUUUUUAUAUUUUAGACCAGACAAUGUUGACUUUUCAUAUAUAUAUCUCUUUUUUUUUUGGUUGGUUAUAAAUGAAAUUGGCACUUUGCUGGAGAAAAUUUACUAAUAUUAGUACUUUGUUAUCUUCCAAUCUGAUAGGCCCACAAUCAUUCGAGUGCUUGCAGCUGCUGUUGUUUUCAGAAUGAGCAAUUUCUUCUAUGUGAUUUGAGAAGCAGUUGUAGUUUUACAGUAUUUUUGUAUGAUUAUAUUUUGAGUGCUUGCUUUUUUUAGUUUUGAC
rnacentral:lncRNA from 1 species